CUGUAAUCAAACUCACAGCAAACGGAACUCGAAGUUAGAGCAAUCGUUCCUCUUCUCCAAUUACAAUUGUUUCGUGCAGUAGAUAUCCUUCUCACAUUAUUGUCAAUCCUAGCUAAUAUCCAAGAACCCAGAAACCACUGUGAACCCUAACCCAUAACCCAUAAAUCUCUUCUCUCCAAGAACCUUAAUCCAAUUACCCACUACUUUCACUGUCAGAAGUUGUACUCGUUCGUCACCGUUCAUCGCUGUCCGUCGCCAUGCUCUCACAACUCAAACUGUCGUCAUUAAGAUGAUAUAGGGCAAGAAUGGACUUUUGUGCAGGCUAAAUCCGAAAAUGUGCAGAAUGUGUGUGACAUAGUCAAGAAACAAUUGUCCCUGCUAGAAUAUUCAAAUGUUAUCGGAGAGUCUAAAUUUACUACACUUGUGAAGUUAGUUAUCUACUGAUAUUUUAAGGGUUUCUGGAAAGAAUGGAUUGAUGCAAAACCAAGGGCAUAGUGACUAUGACAGAGUGCAGUUUGGAAGUUUGAAGCCUAAUCUUAUGUCUUCUUUAGACACUACAAAAAAAAAUUACUGGCCAGAACAAAUUGUCACAUGAAGUCUUUUAAUUCUGUUCUACAAUUCUAUAUAAUGAUCAUUGUUCUCCACUGCUCGUUCUAAUGAAGCAACGACAUAAACACAGGACAUGAUGCUAACAAAUAGAAUCACAGAUACCAUAUUAGUAACAAUUUGAGAAAACAAAAGUGAUUGAAUGUAACUAUAUAUGUCGGUGUCAAACAGCGACAUGUCAUACACUAGACAUGCCUUUAAUAAAAAGUGUACAUGCUACAUUACAUAAUGUAUAAACCAUUGUAAAAAGACACAAAAUAACAUUUGAUCCGUUUACCUACACUUUUUGUACAGUUUUUGAAACAAAUAUGCUAUAACAUGUUUCUUUUCAUUCAUGUACUAAUAUUCCCAUUCCAUUUCUUUUAUAUUCUAAGAGGUUAAGUCCAAUCUUACAUAAGGGGUUUGUUGAAGCACAGGGACUAAAUGUGUAUUGGCUAAUCUUUUAGCUACUUGAUAUUUGAACUAGACAUACACAUGUCUUGAUGAUCCUGUUAUUUUUGUUUCUCUUUCUCUCAUUUUAAGUUGGAGCUAGAACUUAUUUCUCUCUAUAUGACAUACAUUUCUUGAACUUGGAGAAUCGUUCA